GAGCCGGCAGUGGCAACCCACUUUGGGUCCCCUCCUGUUGAAUGGGAGCUCUGUUUUCACUCUAUUAAAUCUUGCAACUGCACACUCUUCUGGUCUGUGUUUGUUCCGGCUUGAGCUGAGCUUUUGCUUGCCAUCCACGCACUGCUAAAUACCGCCAUCGCAGACCCACUGUUGACUUUCACCCCUCCAGAUCUGGCAGAGUCUUGCUGUGUUUCUGAUCCAGCGAGGUGCCCCUUGCCGCUCCCGUUCAGGCUAGAGACUAGCCAUUGUUCCUGCAUGGCUAAGUGCCUGGGUUCAUCCUAAUCGAGCUGAACACUAGUCGCUGGGUUCCACAGUUCUUUUCCGUGACCCAUGGCUUCUAAUAGAGCUAUAACACUCACCGCAUGGCCCAAGGUUCCAUUCCUCAGAAUUCAUGAGGCCAAGAACCCCAGGUCAGAGAACAAAAGGCUUGCUGCCAUCUUGGGAGUGGCCGCCACCAUCUUGGGAGCUCUAAGAACAAAGACCCACCCGUAACAUUUGGUGGCAACUGUACGGGGAUUCUCCAAAGUGAAUCAAAACUGUAAAACUACAAAUUGUUCUUCAAAUGGAGCCCCAGAUGCAGUCUAUGACUAAGAUCAACCACAGACCCUUGGACUGGCCUGCUAGCCCAUGCUCCGAUGUUGAUGACAUCGAAGGCACCCCUCCUGAGGAAAUCUGAACUGCGAGACCCCUCCUAUGCCCCAAUUCAGCAGGAAGCAGUUAGAACGGUCAUCGGCCAACUUCCCCAACAGCACUUGGGUUUUCCUGUUGAGAGGGGGGAUUGAGAGACAGGACUAGCUGGAUUUCCUAGGCUGACUAAGAAUUCCUAAGCCUAGCUGGGGAAGGUGACCACACCCACCUUUAAAAUAUAGGGCUUGUAACUCAGCUUACAUCUGACCGAUCAGGUAGUAAAGAGAGCUCACUAAACUACCAAUUAGGCUAAAAGCAGGAGGUAAAGAAAUAGUCAAUCAUCUAUCACCUGAGAGCACAGGGGGAGGGACAGUGAUUGGGAUAUAAACACAGGUAUUUGAGAGGCAGUGGCAACCCCCUUUGGGUCCCCUCCCAUUGAAUGGGAACUCUGUUUUCACUCUAUUAAAUCUUGCAACUGCACAC
rnacentral:lncRNA from 1 species